rnacentral:rRNA from 1 species
GAUUCACGCUGGCGGCGUUCCUAAUACAUGCAAGUCGAGCUAAGCGGUGACGGGUGAGUAACACUUGGAUACCCUCCUAUAAGACUGGGAUAACUUCGGGAAACCGUAGCUAAACCGGAUCCUUCUCGCUGGAUCCGCGCUGCAUUCGCUAGUUGGUAAGGUAACGGCUUACCAAGGCCACUAUGCAUCUCCUACCUGAGAGGGUGAUCGGCCACACUGGAACUGAGACACGGUCCAGACUCCGACGAGAGGCAGCAGUAGGGAAUCUUCCGCAAUGGGCGAAAGCCUGACGGAGCAACGCCGCGUGAGUGAUGAAGGUCGUCGGAUCGUAAAACUCUGUUAUUAGGGAAGCGGUACCUAAUCAGAAAGCCACGGCUAACUACGGGCCAGCAGCCGCGGUAAUAC